AUUGAACGCUGGCGGCAGGCUUAACACAUGCAAGUCGAGCGGGGUGAUGGCGCUUGCACUAUCACUUAGCGGCGGACGGGUGAGUAAUGCUUAGGAAUCUGCCUAUUAGUGGGGGACAACAUCUCGAAAGGGAUGCUAAUACCGCAUACGUCCUACGGGAGAAAGCAGGGGAUCACUUGCGACCUUGCGCUAAUAGAUGAGCCUAAGUCGGAUUAGCUAGUUGGUGGGGUAAAGGCCUACCAAGGCGACGAUCUGUAGCGGGUCUGAGAGGAUGAUCCGCCCCACUGGGACGGGGACACGGCCCAGACUCCUACGGGAGGCAGCAGUGGGGAAUAUUGGACAAUGGGGGGAACCCUGAUCCAGCCAUGCCGCGUGUGUGAAGAAGGCCUUAUGGUUGUAAAGCACUUUAAGCGAGGAGGAGGCUCUUUUGGUUAAUACCCAAGAUGAGUGGACGUUACUCGCAGAAUAAGCACCGGCUAACUCUGUGCCAGCCGCCGCCGUAA
rnacentral:rRNA from 1 species